GCCUCUAGCUUAGUUGGUUAGAUUGUCUGAUUAGCACUCCUCAGGUCUUGGGUUCGACAACCGUGGGAGCG
rnacentral:tRNA from 7 species